rnacentral:misc_RNA from 1 species
GAUGAAGAACGUAGCGAAAUGCGAUAAGUAAUGUGAAUUGCAGAAUUCAGUGAAUCAUCGAAUCUUUGAACGCACAUUGCGCCCGCCAGUAUUCUGGCGGGCAUGCCUGUUCGAGCGUCAUUUCAACCAUCAAGCCCCCGGCUUGUGUUGGGGACCUGCGGCUGCCGCAGGCCCUGAAAAGCAGUGGCGGGCUCGCUGUCACACCGAGCGUAGUAGAUUUCAUCUCGCUCAGGGCGUGCUGCGGGUUCCGGCCGUUAAACCACCUUCAUACCCCAAGGUUGACCUCGGAUCAGGUAGGAAGACCCGCUGAACUUAAGCAUAUCAAUAAGCGGAGGA